UGGGAACCAAGAAACUGGCCUCCGAGAC
rnacentral:piRNA from 1 species